GCUUCCCAGGGUUGGUUGCUGAGAUUGCAGUUCUAGGAGACUUUUUUUGGCCUCUGCUUUUUUUUUUUCCCUAGAUUUAUAUGUGGUGCUGAGAAUCAAACCCAGUGCCUCACACAUGACAGGCAGGUGCACUGUGGCUGAGUCACAGCCCCAUUAAGUUCUUUUUAUUUGAGACAGGGUCUCACUAAGUUGCACAGACUGACUUUGAACUUAGAUCCUCCUGCCUCAGCCUCUCAACUCCUUGGAUUAUAGGCAUGAACCACCACUCCUGGUUUAUCUUUCACAUUUAAAAAAAUUUUUUUUUCUUUUUAGUCGGACACAAUACCUUUAUUUUUAUGUGGUGCUGAGGAUCCAACCCAGGGCCUCACAUGUGCUAGGCAAGCACUCUACCGCUGAGCUACAACCCCAGCCCCUAUCUUUCACAGUUUUAAAGAAGGCACUUUAAAACACUUCUAACUGGAGUCUAACUGGUAUGACACAUGUACCACUUUCCACUUUACUGUUAAUCUGAUAAGGUUACCUUCUAUGUUUAGUGUUUACAGAUGAAGAAACUUUUAAGCCAUUUCUGAUGUCUGUCAAUAAGGAGUAAGUGAACAUAGUCAGCUUUCGUAUUUGAUGUUUUGACAUGAUUUUAAAAAAGAACUUUUUUAGAGAGUUGGGUGUGGUGGUACCUGCAUUUAAUUCCAGCUGGGAGGCUGAGGCAGGAGGAUCACAAGUUCAAUGCCAGCCUCAGCAGUUUAAGGCCCUAUGCAACUUGGUGAGACCCUGUCUCAAAAUAAAGGGCUGAGGAUGUGACUCAGUGGUUAAGUGAGUUUGGGUCAAUCCCUGGUAAUAAAAACAAGCUAAACCAAACUUUUUUUUGGUUUAAGUCUCCUACUUCACUGGAAAUGAUUCUGUGUUGAAAAUUUGGUGUGAAUUCUUCCAGGACACCAUCUAGUGGUAAAGGGCUGGUAGCUGCAAGCCCCUUAGUGAGUAGGAUGGAUCAGUGGCAAAAUUGAACCAAUGCUGAUUUCAGAGGGAACUUGACCCUAAACAAACUGAGAUUGAGAAGAAAAGUGAAACUGGUCAAAUGAAGGUAAUAAAAUGAUGAUGUAGGAAUGGAAAGACAAGGGUCAAGCUACCUGGAGAGAGUGACACUGGGUAGGUCAGCCAGUAAGAUUGGACAUUUGCUUUGUUUUUGGUACUGGGGAUUGAAUCCUGGGGUGCUUUAUUACUGAGCUACAAUUCCCAGCCUUUUUUUGAAAUAAGGUUUCCCUAAAUAGCUGAGGUUGGCCAGGAUCUUGUGAUUCUCCUGCUUCAGCCUCCCAGAAAUCCUUGGGAGUAUAGAUGUAUGCCACUGCACAUACUUUAUUGUAUAGGAGAUUGAAUCCAGGGGCUCAUAUCCAUUGAGCCUACAUCUCCAACUCUUUUAUUUUUUUAUUUUAAAACAGGUUCUUGCUAAGUUACUGAGGCUGGCUUCAAACUUGGGAUCCACUUGCUCCAGCCUCCCCAGUAGUUGGGAUUACAGGUUG
rnacentral:lncRNA from 1 species